UAUUUUUCAGGCGGAAAAAAACGAUCUUGCCAUCCAAAGGAUCGAUUCAGCAGAAAAUCGCGCGCAGGAAAAUCGAUUCAAAAAAUCGAUGAAUCGACUAGAAAAGAUCGAUUUUGCAAAAAUCGGAUCGAUCUUGCCCAUUACUACACCCUACCCCAGAAGUUGCUUUUGCCGCUAGGUAUUUGUUGGGUGCUGCUAUUCGACAAGAUUUAGCAUUGUUGCGGGUGGUGUAAAGGUUCGUCCCAGGUGUCACUGAGUUUCUGAGAAAUAAUGGUAACUAGAAAGCUACAACUCGGUACAAGUAUCAUGGAGACAAAGCCCAGCACUAGGGAGAGCCCAAAUGUGGAUAAAUCAGCGCUGUGUUUAUUGUCCGGUGUUAGAGAGGUGCCCACAGGUUUAACUUCAAGAUUGCUUCCAUCCGAGCUUCCAUCGUACAAGGAACGAAUUCCUUCUGGUAUUAUGACUGUAAAGGCUGUUUCCACCAACAACCUAGCACCAAACAUAUACACAUCUUUAGUUUUUCCUCUAACAGCAUCACGAUUAAAAGUAUACUUUCAACUACACUGUUAUUAAAUGCCACGAUUACUUCAAGUGUUUUUGCACUUGACUCGAUUCGUCACGUCACACUGCAAAUUGAAGUGAUUUAGUGUUGAUUUCACAAUGAUCAACACUUUCUAAUGAAAUGAUCUUGCGUUGAAAACUGUUCAAUGGAAAUCACCAUCAUAUUAUAAUGAAUAUCUCUUGAAUUUGCACCACUGUUCAAAUCAAUUGAAUUACAGCUGCGAUUCCAAUUGACAAACGUCAAAAACAUAAAACGGAACAAAAAUAGUCGCGAUGGCGGAAGGCGCAAGCAGCACAUUUUCCCCGGCGAUUGAAAAUUUGUUUGGAAAUCCUGAAUUCGAAUACACCGACACAGCGACAGUGGUCAUUUUGUAAUCAAAUUGAAAACCUAGAAUGAAAUAAAAUUGAAAAAUCUAAAAUAAACAGAAA